CGUUCACAUAAACCCAGGUUCUGGUUUCAAGCGAAGAGAGGAAGGCCCCCCACCGCUGCGCCCGCACAGACCUCUACGCCAGACAUGCCCAGCUCCAAAAGCCGAAAAGAAAGAAAAAAAAAAAAAGCAAAAGCUGAGACUACCACCUAUUUAGGCACAGCCAAAAUUGGUCAGAAAAAGGGGGAAAGUGGGACACGGCUUCGAAGGAGGGGAAUGAAAGAAGGGAGCGUCCACAUCCUGCCUCUCCAGCUUCUCCCCUGCGUUCCUCGGGCGAAUCGGAGGGGCGGGCGCUGCGCUGGGGAAAGUUUGUCCCACCCGCAUUUCGCAGCCGGCUGCGAGCAGAGGAGGAGCGGGGCGGGAGGGUAGAGCUCGGAGCCUGCGGGCGGCGAGCGCCGCGCUUACCUCGCAGUCCUCGUACUUGAUAUUAUCCGUCAGUUUCCAAAGCAUUUUCAUGGAUCGGCGUGAAUGGAUUCGCCCCCUCUCCGCCUUGCACCCAAGUGGAGCCACUCUCUGGCUCUUUACCAACCGCCUAACCGCCUCAUUAGCAUAUCAACAAUAGUCCAAUUGCUCGCCUGCACCGCAGUCCGCGGCCGGCCGCUCCGACGCAGGUAUAAAGGCCUCUCCGAGCCGCGAACUUGCUCCUAGAGCGCACGCCGGCCUGCGAGCAAACGGAAUCACCCCCCCGAGACCAGCCGCCGCAGGCGCCCCCCCUUCCUCCGCCCCCACUCCUCUUCCUCUCCGUGGCCUCCUCCCGGGAGAUGUCCUCCGCAACGACUCGGCCUGCGCGGGUCCCAGCGGCCGCGCCUGGGGCCCGGCUUUCAGCACCUUUCCCCCACCCCUGCCGCCACUAACCGCGCUGUCCUUUCAGGCCCGACCAAUUUUAUUGGAAAUUAUUAUCCCUUUAGCAGUUAAAUAUAAUCACCAAACCAAGACUGGCAAAGACACUUCAGGAUUUUUGCCCUACAAGAGAUCGCCUCCGCUCGCGGAAGCCGCCACCUCGGGCCGCAGCGCCUUGGGAGUUUUAUUGGCUUUGCGCUUCCCGCCAAGGUUGGAGAUUUUGCCAGACUCCAGUCGUUCGACUGGGGUUUGUGAUCCUUUAAUUGCCGCGUGUAAAAUAAAAAUUGUACCCUAAAGAGGUUAUUUGACAGCUCCAGGGGUUAAAUGAUUUUCCUCUCGUCUUGUAUGAAGCUACGACCGACUGAAAAUUCAACGUGGUGUUGGGGCUAAGGGUUUCUUAGGUACUAAUGUGGACAAAAACAUAGAACUUCUAUGGAGACUCACAGUCACUUCUGGAGCUGAGCCGAAAUGCCGACAUGUGUGCGCCAUGUCAUGCAUGCAUCAAAAUAAA